UUUAAAAUUCACAUUGAACUCUCCUGUAUUGCAGCACUGUGGGAAAGAAAAGUAUCUAAAGCCACGUUUCCACUGGCACCUAAAAUUAGGGCGAAAUUCGAGCUGGCUCGAAUGAAAUUCUCACAUUCGAGCUGGUUCGAGGGAAACCCGGGAUAGCGCAGCCCAGUUGCACAACUGGUGCCAGCUCGAUUAGAAUUCGGGCUGAUGACACCGUUACUAUGCAACCACCAGCUGAUCACUGCUGGAUGCUGACACCACAUUCAGCUAGCUCGUCUGGGCUUGUUGCUGUUAUAAUGAGCAGGCAAGCAGUCCUGAGCAAAAGUUACUGACAACCCUCCACCACCAAAUAAGGCCCGUCAUUGGAAGUCCUUACUCCCAGCAGGGCUACCUGCCAUCAAAGCAUCUGGCUCUGAGGACCAUUCCUCAGAGAUGAGGACAUUCCUCAAACUAUUUGAAUAAAUGUUCAUAUUUGCA
rnacentral:lncRNA from 1 species